rnacentral:rRNA from 1 species
CCUACAAUCCGUCAGAGCCUCCGUGUGGGGUGAUGGCGUGCCUUUUGAAGAAUGAGCCUGCGAGUCAGCGGCAUGUCGCGAGGUUAACCCGUGUGUGGGGUAGCCGUAGCGAAAGCGAAUCCUAACGAGGGUGUUGUUAGUGGCAUGUCCUGGACCCGAAGCGGGGUGAUCUACCCAUGGCCAGUGUGAAGCGACGGUAAGACGUCGUGGAGGCGCGAACCCACUUAGGUUGAAAACUGAGGGGAUGAGUUGUGGGUAGGGGUGAAAGGCCAAUCAAACUCCGUGAUAGCUGGUUCUCCCCGAAAUGCAUUUAGGUGCAGCGUUGCGUGUUUCUUGCCGGAGGUAGAGCUACUGGUUGGUUUAGCGGGACUACAAUCUUAGCGACAUCAGCCAAACUCCGAAUGCCGGUCAAGUGUAAGCGUGGCAGUGAGACUGCGGGGGAUAAGCUUCGUAGUCGAGAGGGAAACAGCCCAGAUCGCCGGCUAAGGCCCCUAAGGGUGUACUAAGUGGAAAAGGAUGUGGGAUCGCGAAGACAACCAGGAGGUUGGCUUAGAAGCAGCCAUCCUUGAAAGAGUGCGUAAUAGCUCACUGGUCGAGUGGUUCUGCGCCGACAAUGUAGUGGGGCUCAAGUACACCGCCGAAGCCGCGGCAGCGAUAUCCUUUUGA